AGUGUCAAUCCACCAUCUUCUGCCAGUGAACUUGUCUUUGGGUUUUUGUUUGGAGGGUGUCUCACCGAACGGUAGCUAAAACCUCACCAGAACCGCGCGGAAGUGAGAAGUCGCGGCCAAAGGCGCCCGCAGAAGCCUCCUCUCUGGGCCGGACCCCAGCCCGAGCGGCCGAAAGGAGCCCCCCGCCCGGAUCACAGAAGUUUACAAGGAAAGGGGAAAUGUCUGAAAUGGAGAUUGCACAAUCCUGUCUUGAAGCAGAAGACUCAGCUAGAGCACAUCUGGAAACACCUGGCACUCCUCAAUAGAAUUCAAAUGCUAUUUUAAAAGAGUCCAUUUCUAAGAAGAUGUGGUUCGAACAUACAGAGCUACAUAAUAUGAGUAAAAUAGGACCUAACAGUAGUGUUCUCCAGCAUUGCUCUGCCUUUCCUUUUCUGGAUGUAACAACAUUACUAAGAAAGGAAGAAAAAGCAAAAAUCUGCUCUCGGGGAGAUUCCAGAAUGUUGGAAAGCCCCAAAUGGAAGUCUCUGCUUUGGUUACAGGACAUAAGGUUUAAUAAAUAAAAAGAUGCUCAUCUGGGAUGCUGCACCAAUUAUCAUGUACUAAAUAAGGUUACCUACUUCACUCUCCAGGUAGAAAUGUCUAUCAUAAGCAUGUGCCACAGAAGGUCUCUCAAGUAUCAUUAUUGGCUGUGUUGAAUUUUGUUUUUAGUUCUCUUUUAUAAGGUCUGUAGUCUUACUUUCAGUGAGGAAGUGUUUUCUCAGGUUCUCAAGAAAGUAACAAAAUGCCAGCAUUGUCAAGGUCACCAUUGCCACUGAAUUAUCUUACUGUCUGAUUAUUCCAUCUUCCUCUGCAUCAUAUUAGCCUGAUGACUACAUUCUAAUUAUUUAAAGCGUUAUGUAAAUCAAAGCAGUAAAUGUAAUUUCUAGUCUUACUAGAUAUCAUGUACAUUAGGUCGAAUAACUCUAGAAAUGUCGUCAUAAUCAUGUCAUGCCUAAUGAUGACCUACUCAGCCCCUGCCAACAUCAUUCAAUUACUCAUUUCAGUAUUGAUUUUUCUCAUGCCUCUCUUCGUGGCAUUUAAACAGCCCUCACAUCUCCCCUUUUACUGAGGUGUAAUGUUGUAUAAUGACAGAGAUGCUUUGCUUCCCAGAUUCAUAAUGUUACACUCUGUUUCAAAUCCUUUUGGAGACAAAUUGGGGAAUCAAUAUAUAAAUAAUGACACACUUAUUUUUAAUUAAAAUCACUGCUUUCACAGAAAUGGUAUAUUAAAAUUAUUUUUGCUAAAAAAAUUUUAAAUACCUAUGUACGAUAAAAAGACUGCCAAUCCUUGGGAUCAAGAAUAUAAUUUGCCCCAAAUAACUUUUCUGUAAAAGUAGAAUUCUUAAUGGAAAAUAGAUUAAUACAUAUAAUUUCAAGAUCUAACCUUAAAAAUGGAAAUAAUGUGUCCAUUUUUAAAAAUAAAUCAUAUUUACAUACACUGUGUUUAUGAGAGUUGUUUUGGAAUGAAACUUCUUUGCAUUUGAGAUCAAAUUCUUUUAUUCACAAGAAUUACAUUAUCUUUUUCAGCUGAAUGUUAUGUUAUACUCUUCCAAAAUCUAUUUUCCCUGCACUCAAGUAGCGGUAAAUAUUCUUUUUUUUUUCUGGAAAUUGAUAGUCUAAUUUUCUCCUGCCUCUCUUUGGCACACCCUCAUUUUGCAUGAGAUAUGCUCCUUAAUAAAAUUUCUACUCAAUAUUACAGAAACUUCCAGAAAUGGCAUCUAAAAUAUUACACUGGCCCGUUUAACUUCAC
rnacentral:lncRNA from 10 species